UUUUUUUUUUUUUUUUUUUUUUUUUUUUUUUUUUUUUUUUUCCCGUCGCGAGAAAUCUUGACAAAUGCAGUAA
rnacentral:ribozyme from 1 species